rnacentral:tRNA from 4 species
GGGGGUAUGGCGAAAUCGGUAGACGCUACGGACUU